GUUGGUAGAGCAAGACUGAA
rnacentral:tRNA from 1 species